UACGGAGGGUGCAAGCGUUAUCCGGAUUCACUGGGGUUAAAGGGUGCGUAGGCGGCUAUAUAAGUCAGUGGUGAAAGCCCGCAGCUCAACUGCGGAAUUGCCAUUGAAACUGCAUAGCUUGAAUCUGGUUGAAGUGGGCGGAAUACAUCAUGUAGCGGUGAAAUGCUUAGAUAUGAUGUAGAACACCGAUUGCGAAGGCAGCUCACUAAGCCAACAUCGACGCUGAGGCACGAAAGCGUGGGUAGCGAACAGG
rnacentral:rRNA from 1 species